rnacentral:lncRNA from 10 species
UGCUCUCUUAGAGCCACCUGCCCAGCCAGUCAGUGCCUGUUACUUUGAUGCCUGAGCCUGGCAUGCAGGGACCCUCGUCCAAGUCACCCAGACACCAUCAACAGCCUCAAUGGCAUCUGACCCUCUUCAGAGCUGCUGAGACAUCAGCACCUUUCCCUGAGCUUCUAAAAACCCCAUCCUUGCCCCCUUUAUUCUCCUGGCCUGGAGGGUGUCGCUGCAGUGGUCGCCUUUGCCUUUUCAGCUCUCCAGUAUCUGUUAUCUAAUUCCUUUUGUGAAAUUUCUUCUGUUAACAAACUGAUGCUGAGUCUCUUUUCCUGACCUCAUCCUGACUGAAAGGCACCUAUAUCUUCAUACAUGCUCUCUGCUUACUGUUUAUGUAGCCAUGGUGUUCGAUGUGUCUGUAGGUCAUUUUCUGCCACGUAGAGCAAUAAGAAUUAGAUGGAUGCAUAUGUUUUUGCUAUAAGAUGCAGAUUUAGGAGUAGUACUCCUUCACAUGCAUGAAUAUGAAAUAUCCAGUGGUCUAUUUGAGCAGAAAGUUUUUACUCAUAGAAAGAACUUGUACGUGUAAUUUAUUACCACCACUUGCAUGCCUUGAACACUUCUCCCACCUUCC